CUUUGUGCGUGUAGAGUCCCAAUAAAUGAAGGGCCACCAAGAGCUUGAACUGCACAGUGUGAUAUUGGCUGUGUGAGCGAGAGGACAUGGGGAGGGCCGUUCCCCGCCAGUCACUCUACCUGAUAGAGCAUGGAGUUGAACCCAGACACAGAAGCAUGAAAUCCUCCAAUGCCCUUGAGUCACGCUAACCCUGCCACGGCCUCGCAGUUUUUCGCAAAAGUUCAACGGUCAGCGAUCUUCAACAAUGUAUUUAUGGACAACCGUGACUAAGACUAAAGGCAAAGUGGAAACCAAAUGGACCUCCUUGGACUACCAAAAAGAAUUCAGGAGGAAGGAAUGCGUGAGGUAUAGUUAUCGGAAAAGUGUCACCCGCACCAUUAUUGCAAGUGUAUUGUCACACUCUAUCGUUCUUCUCACGCACUUGCACAUAUUCAAGUAGAUAUCAACAGUUAUGCAUUUUAGUUUAAUCCUAUCAGUGGCAGCUUGUUUUAAUUGCUGUUUGUCAUUUCAUUUAUGUAUUUUUGACAUCUGUCUAAUCGAUAAAUUGUUUAUGAUCAUAAACUUUAUAUACAUCCCUCGUAAAUACUGUAAGUCUUCAGCUAUUGUAAGUGCACAGCUAUUGCAAAUAUGCACUGACGGUGUGGCAGCCUUUGUUAAAUAAAAUAAAGUUGUUUCUAU